rnacentral:rRNA from 1 species
UGGGGAAUAUUGGACAAUGGGCGCAAGCCUGAUCCAGCCAUGCCGCGUGAGUGAUGAAGGCCUUAGGGUUGUAAAGCUCUUUCGCCGGUGAAGAUAAUGACGGUAACCGGAGAAGAAGCCCCGGCUAACCUCGUGCCAGCAGCCGCGGUAAUACGAAGGGGGCUAGCGUUGCUCGGAAUCACUGGGCGUAAAGCGCACGUAGGCGGAUCGUUAAGUCAGGGGUGAAAUCCUGGAGCUCAACUCCAGAACUGCCCUUGAUACUGGCGAUCUCGAGUUCGAGAGAGGUUGGUGGAACUCCGAGUGUAGAGGUGAAAUUCGUAGAUAUUCGGAAGAACACCAGUGGCGAAGGCGGCCAACUGGCUCGAUACUGACGCUGAGGUGCGAAAGCGUGGGGAGCAAAACAGGAUUAGAUACCCUGGUAGUCCACGCCGUAAAACGAUGGAUGCUAGCCGUUGGGGGGUUUACCUCUCAGUGGCGCAGCUAACGCCUUAAGCAUCCCGCCUGGGGAGUACGGUCGCAAGAUUAAAAACUCAAAAUGAAUUGACGGGGUCAUAGCUGUUUCCU